CGUUCUACAAUAUGACGGAGUGUA
rnacentral:miRNA from 1 species